rnacentral:rRNA from 1 species
CUACGGGAGGCUCCAGUGGGGAAUAUUGGACAAUGGGGGAAACCCUGAUCCAGCAAUGCCGCGUGUGUGAAGAAGGCCUGCGGGUUGUAAAGCACUUUCGGUUGGGAGGACUGCUUCUAGCACUAAUAUUGUUGGAAGUUGACGUUACCUUCAGAAGAAGCACCGGCUAACUCCGUGCCAGCAGGCCGCGGUAAUACGGAGGGUGCAAGCGUUAAUCGGAAUUACUGGGCGUAGAGCGCGCGUAGGCGGCUAGAUCAGUCGGGUGUGAAAGCCCCGGGCUUAACCUGGGAACUGCAUCCGAUACUGUCUAGCUUGAGUACAGGAGAGGAGAGUGGAAUUCCACAUGUAGCGGUGAAAUGCGUAGAUAUGUGGAGGAACACCAAUGGCGAAGGCAGCUCUCUGGCCUGAUACUGACGCUGAGGUGCGAAAGCGUGGGGAGCAAACAGGAUUAGAUACCCCGGUAGUC